CUCGAUAUGUCCGAUUUUAAAAUAGCUUUUCGGUGAAAGCACAUUUUGCAAUAUUCUGAGUAGAUAGCCCGGCAUCACAGGGCUAGCUAUUUAGACACCCAGCAAGUUUAGCACUCACCAAAGUCAGAUUUACUAUAAGAAAAAUGUUAUUACCUUUGGUGUUCUUCGUCAGAAUGCACUCCCAGGACACUAUCCAAAUAGUGGCGUUUUGUUCGUGCGUUCAAUACACUAUCCGAAAGGGUAAAUAAGGGUUACGCGCACGACGCAUUUCGUGACAAAAAAAUUCGAAAUAUUCCAUUACCGUACUUCGAAGCAUGUCAACCGAUGUUUAAAAUCAAUUUUUAUGCCAUUUUUCUCGUAAAAAAGCGAUAAUAUUCCGACCGGGAAUCUGUGUUUAGGUUCAGAGACGAACGAAAAUAAAAACAUGUGGUCGACUCAUGCACGCGCCUAAGCCCAUUGUCCUCUGAUAGAGCACUUGCCAAAAGCGCUAAUGUGUUUCAGCCUGGGGCUGGAAUUACAUCAUUCAGCAUUUUCCCGCCUUCUGAGAGCCUAUGGGAGCCGUAGGAAGUGUCACGUUACAGCAAAGAUCCUCAGUCUUCAAUAAACAGAGUCAAGAAGCUCAAGGAAUGGUCAGACAGGCCACUUCCUGUAAGGAAUCUUCUCAGGUUUUUGCCUGCCAUAUGAGUUCUGUUAUACUCACAGACACCAUUCAAACAGUUUUAGAAACUUUAGGGUGUUUUCUAUCCAAAGCCAAUAAUUAUAUGCAUAUUCUAGUUACUGGGCAGGAGUAGUAACCAGAUUAAAUCGGGUACGUUUUUUAUCCGGCCGUGCAAAUACUGCCCCCUAUCCCCAACAGGUUAAUACUGGUAGUAGUGGAGGUGGUUGUGGUGGUGAUAGUGGAGGUGGUAGUAGUGGAGGUGGUAGUAGUGGAGGUGGUAGUAGUGGUGGUGGUGGUAGUAGUGGAGGUGGUAGUUGUGGUGGUGGUGGUGGUGGUAAUAGUGGAGGUGGUAGUAGUGGUGGAGGUGGUAGUAGAUGAGGUGGUAGUAGUGGUGGUGGCGGUAGUAGUGGAGGUGGUAGUAGUGGUGGUGGUGGUGGUGGUAAUAGUGGAGGUGGUAGUAGUGGAGGUGGUAGUAGUGGUGGUAGUAGUGGUGGUAGUAGUGGAGGUGGUAGUAGUGGUGAAAUCAGCUCUUUUUUUGUGGAUUUAAUACUUUUCUUUUUCGUGGUUUUCUAUGUUUUGCUCUGCCUGUCCCUCCUUUUCUGAGUUAUUGCAGACUCCUCCACUUGGCUGGUCUCCAUGGAGACUGAGUUGGCCCUGGUCUGCCAAACCUGGCCCUGAUUGAUUUAAUGACUUACCACACAGCUGAAAAAGGAUCGUUCAGCUUCAGUCUUGUCCUUUGCUUUAGGGAGAACAGCAAUGCCGAACCGCUGCUGCUGCCACUACCGUCACCGGGACCAUGUCACACCCAGCCACCGAUGAUGACCUGUAGCCAGAGGGGGGCCAAACGUUUGGUCGAGUGGUCGGAAAAACGUCUGUUCAGAACGGAUCCCUGCUCAUUGCAUGUGAAACCUGACACUUCAAGUCAGCUGACGGAGUGGUAGCAGGAGAGAGCAGACAGGCGGGGUUUUCCAGCACUAUAAGGCAUUGGACCCUACGACGUUCACAGGGCACUUUGUACACCCACAAUGUCAGUCACAACUGGGCCAGAACAGCUCAAAGUCCCCUAUAUAGGGGACUUAAACGUUUCAGUAAAGAACAUUUAAAAGAAAAAAGCUUUACAACCUUUUCUGUGUGUUGGCCUGGGAUUUGGAACGUGUUUUUUUUUUACACUUGAUGGCAGUAGACAUAUGCUUUGACAAAAUGUUUAAUGGUGGAUGCACAUCAAAGAAAAGUUCAACAAAACGGUGUCAGCUCAGCUGUCAACAGUGAAUCCAGAAGGCAUAGUACCAAUAUGAACCAGAUCAAACAGGACAGCGGGAGAUGAAUGAAUGAGGGAAUGAACUAAGGCCAGGGAGAGGUAAAUAAAUGUGGGAUGAGGUAAUGCACAAAAGGAUCAUUAUCAGGUUAAUACCAGAUUAAAUGGACAGAGAUGUAAAUACGGAGGUGAUCAGGAGCCGAUCAAUAUCUUCAUGCUUCCCUCCAGGACUAGCUUCCCUCCAGGACUAGCUUCCCUCCAGGACUAGUUUCCCUCCAGGACUAGUUUCCUUCCAGGAC
rnacentral:lncRNA from 1 species